ACUUAGUGGCGGACGGGUGAGUAACGCGUGGGUAACCUGCCUCACACAGGGGGAUAACAGUUGGAAACGACCGCUAAUACCGCAUAACCCGCCGGUAUCGCAUGAUACUGACGGAAAAGAUUUUAUCGGUGUGAGAUGGACCCGCGUCUGAUUAGCCAGUUGGCAGGGUAACGGCCUACCAAAGCGACGAUCAGUAGCCGGCCUGAGAGGGUGAACGGCCACAUUGGGACUGAGACACGGCCCAAACUCCUACGGGAGGCAGCAG
rnacentral:rRNA from 1 species